UAAAUUAUAUUUUUACUAUAAUUGUUUUUGUUAUUUUUUUUAGAAAUAUCUUUUUAUUUAGUACAUUAAGGAAUUAUUAAUUGUUUGUUAUAGAUUAUUAUUACCGUGAGGGAAAUUAAUGAAAUAAUUGAAAAUUGAAUUUAAUAUAAGUAAUUUUAAUUUAUUGUACCUUUUGUAUCAGGGUUGAUUAAAUUUAAUUAAUUUAUUAGUUGACUUCUCGAUUUUAAGAGAGCUAAUUUAAUAAUUUAGUUAGUGUUGCAUAACUAUNAAAAAUAUANNUUAGAGGAGAANUUCCAUCGGGUAUAUUGAAAAAUUAUAGGGGAUAAGCUCUAUGUUUAUACUAUAAAUUUAUAUUUUAAUUAAUUUAUGUAGGGUUAAGAUUAUCUAUCAUUAUAAAGUAUGUUAUAAUUUAAAUUAAUUAUUAAGAGAUUUUAUUUAUUUUAGAUUUUUAUUAAAAUAUUGAAUUUAAUUUUGAAUUUUAAGUAAUAAUGAUUAAAUUAGUAUAUUUUGUUGUUUAUAUAAAAUUAAAUGAGAUGAUAGAAUAAGGAAUUCGGCAAAUAUAACACUCGCCUGUUUAACAAAAACAUGGCCUCUUGAAAUUUUGGAUAGGAGGUCUGACCUGCCCAGUGAUAAUUAUUUUAACGGCCGCGGUAUACUGACCGUGCAAAGGUAGCAUAAUCAUUAGUCUUUUAAAAGAGGGCUGGAAUGAAGGGUUUAACGAGGUGUUAACUGUCUCAUUUUAUUUGAAUUUAUAAUUUACCUUUUUAGUUAAAAGGCUAAAAUUUAAUUGGAAGACGAGAAGACCCUAUAGAGCUUUAUAUUUCUUUGAAUAAUAUUAUUUAUAUUAUUUGUAAUUAUUUAAUGAAAUAUUUUGUUGGGGUGACAAAAAUAUAUGAUAAACUUUUUUAUUUUUUANCCAUUGAUAUAUGAAUAUUAGAUCCUUUUUAUUGAUUGUUAGAUUAAGUUACCUUAGG
rnacentral:rRNA from 1 species